ACUGCUUUAUAGCCUUUUGACUAAGAUUAAGUGUAUUACUAAUAUUACAACCUAAUAUCAUAUUCUCUGAUCAAAGACAAUAUAUUUAAUGUAUUUUGGGAGCAGGAAAUGGAAUGAGUUUGCUCUGUUUACUGCACACAUAGACCAGGUAUUGCAGUAACUUCUGAAAUGCUGUGCACACACA
ensembl:snRNA U2 U2 spliceosomal RNA